UGAGGAUAGAAUUACAUUGUUCACCGCUGAUGGACUGGUGCAGAUUGGAGGCUCCAUCACCCCUCGCCAUGUUAGCUCUUCAGAUGUAGUACCGAAGACUAUUGGAAAAGAUAGGAUGCUGCUCAAGUAAUGGAUCAGUUAGUAUGGGAAGGACUUGGACUUGGAGGAGGGAUAGAUGUCCGAAAUUGGGGCAGCCUGGUUUAUCAGGCUAUUUCAAUAGCAAAUAAUGCAUGCUGGGCUAUUGGAGAACUUGCAGUUAAGGUAUGUUAAUGUUAUGUUCUACAUUCUGAUUAAAUUUUGUAGAAUUGUAUUGUGGCUGGAAUCUAAUUGGCUUAGUUAGAGUUAUGUGCAUAAUGUAGUUUUAAACUGUUAGUUUCAAAAGCCAAUUAGGACAAAUGGUUCUGCUCUUUGUGAUUGCUAUUUGACUGUUAUCUUUUAAUUUUCCACUUAUAUAUUUUUGUCUUAUGAAAUUUUUUU